rnacentral:rRNA from 1 species
GCUGGGGACAGCAAUUGGAAACGACUACUAUACCGCAUGAUGUGUAUGGCCUAAAGAGGGGGACAUUCGGGCCUCACGCCAUAAGAUUAGCCCAAGUGGGAUAGCUAGUUGGUGAGGUAGUGGCUCACCAUGGCGACGAUCCCUAGCUGGUUUGAGAGGAUGAUCAGCCACACUGGGAUUGAGACACGUCCCAGACUCUUACGGGAGGCAGCAGUGGGGAAUAUUGCACAAUGGGCGCAAGCCUGAUGCAGCCAUGCCGGGUGUGUGAAGAAGGCCUUCGGGUUGUAAAGCACUUUCAGUAAGGAGGAAAGGUUAAAUGUUAAUACCUGUUAGCUGUGACGUUACUUACAGAAGAAGCACCGGCUAACUCCGUGCCAGCAGCCGCGGUAAUACGGAGGGUGCGAGCGUUAAUCGGAAUUACUGGGCGUAAAGCGUACGCAGGCGGUUUGUUAAGCGAGAUGUGAAAGCCCCGGGCUCAACUUGGGAACUGCAUUUCGAACUGGCAAACUAGAGUGUGAUAGAGGGUGGUAGAAUUUCAGGUGUAGCGGUGAAAUGCGUAGAGAUUUGAAGGAAUACCGAUGGCGAAGGCAGCCACCUGGGUCAACACUGACGCUCAUGUACGAAAGCGUGGGGAGCAAACAGGAUUAGAUACCCUGGUAGUCCACGCCGUAAACGAUGUCUACCAGAAGCUGGGGUCUUGGGACUUGUUUUUCAAAGCUAACGCAUUAAGUAGACCGCCUGGGAGUACGUCGCAA